GUCUACGGCCACACCAUCCUGAACACGCCUGAUCUCGUCUGAUCUUAGAAGCUAAGCGGGGCCGGGCCUGGUUAGUGCUUGGAUGGGAGGGGGUGCGAGUGUGUGUGUCGCGGGGG
rnacentral:rRNA from 1 species